UACGAAGGGGGCUAGCGUUGUUCGGAAUCACUGGGCGUAAAGAGCACGUAGGCGGACUUGUUGGUCAGGGGUGAAAUCCCGGGGCUCAACCCCGGAACUGCCCUUGAAACUGCAAGUCUUUGAGUCCGAGAGAGGUGAGUGGAAUUCCUAGUGUAGAGGUGAAAUUCGUAGAUAUUAGGAAGAACACCAGUGGCGAAGGCGGCUCACUGGCUCGGUACUGACGCUGAGGUGCGAAAGCGUGGGGAGCAAACAGG
rnacentral:rRNA from 1 species